rnacentral:misc_RNA from 1 species
CGCUAAACAAAAUCCCAAUUGCCCGGGAAAAGACGAAAAAGAGAAGAUGGAUACCGUCGUCCUCGGCCUCAAGCCCUCCUUCCUCCCUCCGCCUCCCAAGCCAAAACCCAAACCCUCAAAACCACCAAACUCAAACUUCAAAAUCCCCAUCAAGUCCUCAAUUCAUUCGGACCCCUGGUCCUUGAGCGACGGCAAUAUUUCAAAACCCAAACCCAAAUCCAAGAACCCCAAGAAGCCUCUCUCAGACGACGACGCCAGGCGCAUAAUCAAAGCUAAAGCGCAGUACUUGAGCUUGCUCCGUAAACACCAGGGUCCUCGCGCCCAGACUCCCAAGUGGAUAAAGAGAACGCCUGACCAGAUGGUGCAGUACUUGCAGGAUGAUAGGAAUGGCAGACUUUAUGGGAAGCAUGUAGUUGCCGCCAUAAAGACUGUGAGGUCCAUGGCCGGGAAGAGAGAGGAGGAGAGGAAUAUCAGGCUGGUGAUGAGUGGGUUUGUGGGUAAGUUGAGCUUUAGAGAGAUGUGUACUGUUUUGAAGGAGCAGAAAGGAUGGAGGGAGGCUAGAGACUUCUUUGCCUGGAUGAAAAUGCAGUUAAGCUAUCGCCCAAGUGUUAUAGUCUACACAAUUGUUUUACGAAUAUAUGGGCAAGUUGGAAAAAUCAAGUUGGCUGAACAGACCUUCUUGGAAAUGCUUGAAGCAGGAUUUGAGCCUGAUGAAGUUGCUUGUGGUACUAUGUUGUGUUCAUAUGCCAGAUGGGGACGUCAUAAGGCUAUGUUUUCAUUUUAUUCUGCUGUACAAGAAAGGGGAAUUAUACUGUCAGUUUCAGUUUACAACUUUAUGUUGUCCUCUUUGCAGAAGAAAUCACUUCAUGGCAAGGUCAUAGAAUUAUGGAGGCAAAUGGUGAAUAAAGGGGUUGCGCCCAAUAAUUUUACUUAUACCGUAGUCAUCAGUUCACUUGUCAAGGAAGGUUUUCAUGAGGAGGCUCUAAAAAUCUUUAAUGAGAUGAAUAACAGUGGGCACGUGCCUGAGGAAGUGACAUAUAGCUUGCUUAUUACCAUAAGUACCAAAAAUUGUAACUGGGAUGAAGCAGGGAGAUUAUAUGAGGAUAUGAGAUCUCAUGGAAUUGUUCCAAGUAACUUCACCUGUGCUUCACUUCUGACCAUGUAUUACAAAAACGGAGAUUAUUCUAAAGCCCUUUCUCUAUUUACAGAAAUGCAAAGCAAGAAAAUUGCUGUGGAUGAAGUUAUCUAUGGCUUGCUCAUCAGAAUAUAUGGGAAACUUGGCCUGUAUGACGAUGCACAGAAAACAUUUGAAGAGGUUGAGCAACUGGGUAUGCUGAGUGAUGAGAAAACAUAUUUAGCGAUGGCACAAGUCCAUCUUAAUUCAGGAAAUGUUGAGAAAGCUUUGAGUGUUAUUGAAGUGAUGAAGUCAAGAGACAUUUGGUCAUCAAGAUUUGCUUAUAUUGUUCUAUUGCAGUGCUAUGUUAUGAAAGAAGAUCUGGACUCUGCUGAAGUUACAUUUCAAGUUUUAUCAAAGACUGGACUUCCUGAUGCUGGUUCUUGUAAUGACAUGCUCAAUUUGUAUCUAAGACUGCAGUUGGCUGAAAAGGCUAAAGAUUUUAUCAUCCAAAUAAUAAAAGAUCAAGUAGAUUUUGAUGAGGAGCUUUACAAGACAGCCAUUAAAGUACUUUGCAAGGAGGGUAUGCUAAGAGAUGCUGAGCAACUGACAAAAGAGAUGGGUACUAAUAAAUCAUUCAAAGAUUGUAGUUUCUUCCAGACUUUUUUCAAGAUUAUGCAUGGAGAAAACAAGGAAUGUAAACACUUCUUGGUCUUUGAUCAACCUGACACUAUGGCUUUCAGGCUUAUCUUUACAUUGUAUUUGAGACAUGGUAGCUUCAGUAAGAUGGAAGAAAUCCUGAAGUUGUUGCUUGAGACUGCUGGUGGUUUGUCUACACUGAAUCAACUAGUUAGCAGCUUCAUCAGGGAAGGUGAUGUAUGUGAAGCAGACACAAUUAGUGCUCAAGUAACCAAGCUAGGCUUCAGAUUAGAGGAUGAAAUAAUUGCUUCAUUGAUUAAUCUAUAUGGUAAAAGACAAAAGUUGAAGCAAGCUCAAGAGGUCUUUGCAACAGUUGCAGAUUCCCCAUUAUGUGGAAAGUCAAUAGUUAACUCAAUGAUUGAUGCAUAUGUUAAAUGUGGUAAAUCAGAGGAAGCUUACUCUCUCUAUAAAGAAUUAACUGAUCGAGGUCACAAUCUGGGUGCUGUUGGUAUCAGCAUAAUUGUGAAUGCAUUGACUAAAUGUGGUAGGAAUGCCUCUUUAUAUGCUAGUAAAGUUUAUUUUAUUUUCUAACAUUCUUUGGUAGGUAGUAAGUUGAUUACAUUUUCAAGCAAGUCUAUGUAUAUGUAGAUAUAAUCUAAACCUCUUUCACAUUUACAAAGAUUCAUCCUCAUGAAUUAACAUUUUGUUGCCCACAACAGUUAUAGGUUCCAAAAGUUAAAGCUUCCAUCUCACCUAAGUCGGUGAUUUAUCAUUUAUCUUUGUGAAGGCAGUUAAAAUAGGCAUGCUUGUGGUGUAGUUCAUAGUGUUUAUUGAUCUAGUAUUUAGUUACAUCUAUGGCUAUUUUGAUUAGUGACAAGAAUUACUCCAUUCCCAGGCAAACCUCGAGAAGCAGAGAAUGUUAUUCGCAAGAGUAUUCAUGACAAUAUGGAGCUUGAUACCAUGGCAUACAAUAUUUUCAUCAAGGCAAUGCUAGAAGCAGGGAGAUUGCAUUUUGCAGCCAGCAUCUAUGAACGAAUGAUUUCCUUAAGUGUUACUCCAUCAAUUCAGACAUACAACUCCAUGAUUAGGUGACAACCUGAUGGAAGGAAAAUGACUCAAAAUAAUUUUAUUUGUAUACCUGAAUGUUUUUCUAUAUAUGGGGAGUUGUUGCAGCUUUUAUUAAUUAACUACUAAUGCAGUGUUUAUGGACGAGGUCGGAAGCUGGAUAAAGUUGCAGAGAUCUUAAAUACUGCUUGCAGCUUGGGUGUGCCUCUGGAUGAGAAGGCAUACAUGAACAUUAUUAGCUAUUAUGGCAAGGCUGGUAAGACACAUGAAGCAUCACUUCUGUUCACCAAAAUGCAGGAAGAAGGGAUAAAACCAGGGAAGGUUAGCUACAACAUUAUGAUCAAUGUGUAUGCCAUGGCGGGACUUUAUCAUGAAGUUGAGGGACUUUUUCGUGGCAUGCAGAGAGAUGGCUGGCCACCAGACUCCUUUACAUACCUCUCUCUUGUUCGAGCUUAUACAGAGAAUUUGAAAUACUCCGAGGCUGAGGAGACGAUUGAUGCUAUGCAAAAGAAAGGCAUCCCACCUUCCUGUGCUCAUUUUCACCUCUUACUCUCUGCUUAUGCAAAAGCUGGUCUAAUGAUAGAAGCAGAAAGGGUUUAUAAAAAACUAUUGACAACUGGUUUAAGUCCUGAUCUUGCUUGUCAUCAGACUAUGCUUAGAGGUUACAUGGAUUAUCGACAUGUGGAAGAAGGUAUACACUUUUUUGAGCAGAUGAGGGAGUCUGUAGAACCUGAUCGGUUCAUUAUGAGUGCGGCUGUACAUUUGUACAAUUUUGCCGGAAAGAAACACAUGGCUGAAGUUCUUUUGGGAUCCAUGAACAAUUUGAGGAUCCCAUUCCUUAGUAACCUUGAGGUUGGAUCAAAGAUAGAAGCUACUGAUGUGUGUCAGAGGUAACUUUACGAUGCACUACAUAACCUGGAGAGCAAAAUGACGCAGAGGAAUUCUUAUGUUUAUAUGGAGCAAUGAUGAGUGGAAACAAUCAUUUGUUGGUGAAUUUCUAUUGCUAUUCCUCUUUUGUUCAAGUGGUGGAGAACACCAUCUCUAUGAAAGCUUAGGCCUCAUGUUUGAGGGAGAUGCCCCAAACUUGAACGAUCCAUGAGUAACUAUGAACAAAUGCUGCAUGAUUGCAUACCAGAGGUGACACAGUAGUGGAUUAAGAGUCCAUACCGCUGUUCUUUCACCAUUCAGCGAAGAGCUCCUCCAGUAUAUGAAGAUAAAUUGUAUAGCAAAGAUGUUUAAGAAGAUUGUUCAUGGACUAAGGCAACUUUAACUAGAAAAUGCAUGAUAGAGAUGGCGGUGCCACGCACAGCAGCAGUUAUGUGAUACGUACCGGAUGAUCUUAAAGUAUUGACAUUUGCUUCCUUUUUGAAACUACCAUCCAGUUUAGUACAGCAGUUGUGCUUAAUAUUCUUGAACGUAAAUACAUAAUUCUUUGAAGCUGCAGUAAUGUGCAUUCUUUGAAGAUGUGCCAGAAGAAGUGAGUCGCAGCCUCUUGUUCUAGUAGCAUUUAUAAACUAGAAUGCAACCACCUGGGACUUGUGACCUCUCUAUUUUGUCAAUAAUGUUUCCUUUCUUCCUUAGGAUCUAUUCAAGAACUGCAUGAAUGGGUUUGCAAACCUAAAGCCUGCACAAGUUCAAUUCAACUAAAUUCUAUUUGGA